rnacentral:rRNA from 1 species
AGAGUUUGAUCCUGGCUCAGGACGAACGCUGGCGGCGUGCCUAACACAUGCAAGUCGAGCGAAGUGCUUGGAGAUGAUUUCUUCGGAAUGAUUCACCAAGUAUCUUAGCGGCGGACGGGUGAGUAACGCGUGAGAAACCUGCCUUUCACAAAGGGAUAGCCUCGGGAAACUGGGAUUAAUACCUUACGAAACUGUAUUACCGCAUGGUAGAACAGUCAAAGCGCUUAAGCGGUGAGAGAUGGUCUCGCGUCCCAUUAGCUAGUUGGUGAGAUAAAAGCCCACCAAGGCGACGAUGUGUAGCCGGCCUGAGAGGGUGACCGGCCACACUGGAACUGAGACACGGUCCAGACUCCUACGGGAGGCAGCAGUGGGGAAUAUUGCACAAUGGAGGGAACUCUGAUGCAGCGACGCCGCGUGAGUGAUGAAGGCUUUCGAGUCGUAAAACUCUGUCCUUGGGGACGAUAAUGACGGUACCCAAGGAGGAAGCCCCGGCUAACUACGUGCCAGCAGCCGCGGUAAUACGUAGGGGGCGAGCGUUGUCCGGAAUUAUUGGGCGUAAAGGGUUCGCAGGCGGCCGAUUAAGUCAGAUGUGAAAUCCCACGGCUUAACCGUGGUAAGCAUUUGAAACUGAUUGGCUUGAGUUAAGGAGAGGAAAGUGGAAUUCCUAGUGUAGCGGUGAAAUGCGUAGAUAUUAGGAGGAAUACCAGUGGCGAAGGCGACUUUCUGGACUUAUACUGACGCUGAGGAACGAAAGCGUGGGGAGCAAACAGGAUUAGAUACCCUGGUAGUCCACGCCGUAAACGAUGAGUGCUAGGUGUCGGGGGUCAAACCCCGGUGCCGGAGCAAACGCAUUAAGCACUCCGCCUGGGGAGUACGUGCGCAAGCAUGAAACUCAAGGAAUUGACGG